rnacentral:rRNA from 1 species
AUGUGUGCAUAUUUUAGAUCUCAUAUCAAAUUUAGUCUCUUAUAAAUUUUACCUUCAAAUCCACCUUCCACCAUUUUUACAAAUAGCCUCCGUAUAAAUACCUUCAUUGUAACUCACCUUUCCUUAAACAUAAGCUACACCUUGACCUGUCAUCUUUUAUAUAAACACUCCGAACAUGGCUUUCCAACAUCUCCUUCUGACGGCGGUAUAUAAGCCUGAGCUUAAGUUAGUUAAAAUGGGGGUUAUCAAUUAAAAGACAAGUUCCUCUGAUAAGAUAAAAUACCGCCAAAUUCUUAGAGUUUCUA